CAUGCAAGUCGAGCGGUAGCACAGAGAGCUUGCUCUCGGGUGACGAGCGGCGGACGGGUGAGUAAUGUCUGGGAAACUGCCUGAUGGAGGGGGAUAACUACUGGAAACGGUAGCUAAUACCGCAUAACGUCGCAAGACCAAAGUGGGGGACCUUCGGGCCUCAUGCCAUCAGAUGUGCCCAGAUGGGAUUAGCUAGUAGGUGGGGUAACGGCUCACCUAGGCGACGAUCCCUAGCUGGUCUGAGAGGAUGACCAGCCACACUGGAACUGAGACACGGUCCAGACUCCUACGGGAGGCAGCAGUGGGGAAUAUUGCACAAUGGGCGCAAGCCUGAUGCAGCCAUGCCGCGUGUGUGAAGAAGGCCUUCGGGUUGUAAAGCACUUUCAGCGGGGAGGAAGGCGUUAAGGUUAAUAACCUUGGCGAUUGACGUUACCCGCAGAAGAAGCACCGGCUAACUCCGUGCCAGCAGCCGCGGUAAUACGGAGGGUGCAAGCGUUAAUCGGAAUUACUGGGCGUAAAGCGCACGCAGGCGGUCUGUCAAGUCGGAUGUGAAAUCCCCGGGCUCAACCUGGGAACUGCAUUCGAAACUGGCAGGCUAGAGUCUUGUAGAGGGUGGUAGAAUUCCAGGUGUAGCGGUGAGAUGCACAGAUAUCU
rnacentral:rRNA from 1 species